rnacentral:tRNA from 1 species
GGUUUAGCUCAGUGGCAUAAGCACCUGCCUUGCAAGCAGGCAGUCGUGAGUUCGAUUCCCAGUACCA